rnacentral:lncRNA from 10 species
CAGAACUCCAGCCCUGCCGUCAGCCCUGAACCCCAGGUACACAGCAGCUGCUGGGCCUCUGGAAGCAGGGAGCCCCCAUACUCUGACAAACAUGCCCUUAACAAACCCACAGGGGCCAAUCCCAAGUUGUCUGCAGAAACCACAACAUAAUGUCAAAGUCACUCCUACUGUUAGAUUUUAUUUCAGAAGCAGUGUGAAGAGGCUACAUAGCUCGUGACAUGUUGCUUAGAACUCUCCUUUUCUCAGCCUCUGCACCCUGUUAUGUCUUUAGCUCAAAAACAGAAAAGCUCUCCCUGCUGUAGCCUGAGCACCACCCUCCUUCCAUCCCCUCCAUCAAGAAAGCUCCCCAAACCUGGCUUGACAAUUACUCAGCUCUCUUGGAGCGGGUAGUGGACGUGGAUGAAUGCAGUAGGGAAAGCCAGAAUCCUUUUGAGAAGGAAAGGGGAAAUGAGGCCAGCAUGGUGGCUCAUGCCUGUAAUCAUAGCCCUUUGGGAGGCUGAGGCGGGAGGAUCGCUUGAGGCCCAAAGUUUGAGGUUGAAGUGAGCUAUGACUGUGCCACUGUACUCCAGCCUGGGUGACAGAGUGAGACCCUAUCUCAAACAAACAAAAAACCCAACCACACCAAAAUAACAAUUAGCAAAACUUCAGUAAGGUCUAUAGAUUAUGGUAUUGUUGGUCAUUGCUAUUGUAUCAAUGUGAACUUUCCUGGUUCUGAUAAUUGUACAUAAUUGGUUAAGUAAUAGAACAUCCCUGAAGUAUUUAGGGAUAAAGGGGUAUUAGCUCUGUAAUUUGCUUCUAAUAGGUCAGAAAAAAAUGUGUGCAUACACGAUACAUGGACAUUACAAACAUUACAAGAUGAGUCUCUGUGAUUCCUGUACACACACACACAGAAUGACAAAGCAAUUGUGCAAUGUUAGCAGUUUAUGAAUCUGGGUGAAGGGUAAAUGGCAGUCCUUAUACUAUUGAUGAAACUUUAAUGGAAGCCUGGAAUCAUUUCAAAAUAAAACAUUUGGCUGUUGAAAUAAACUCAGAUGGGCUGACAAAAGUAGAAGGUAGGAUGAAACAUAUGAGAAGCAUAGUAACAAUUAUGGAAGAAACAUCUAGGGGACCUGAGAUUUGUUCUAGAAAGUUCUAGAAAGAGAAAAGGAAAAGAAAGAAAAAAGGGAAGAAACAAAAGAAAUAAUGGGAGAAAAUUUCCCAGGUCUAAGAAAAGAUCCCAUUAGUACUAAGAAACAGAAUGAAUAUAUUUAGAUAUGGCCAGUUUCAACUUCCAACAUCAAUAAUAAAAAGAAAAUUCUAUUUCUUGAAAAUAAGUUAACCUGUAUAACAUGUCACUUAUUAGAUCCACAUCAGACUUCUCACUGGUGACAAGGGAUGCUAGAAGAUCAUGGAGUAUCAUCUUCAGAGUUAGAUUCUAUCUCCAGCUGAACUCCUAGCCAAGUAUGAGGACAGGAUCAAGUAAUAAAAAUUGCUUUUGAAAUGUCUUGAUUAAAAUCCCUCCCACAGCAGUGUAGGUCUUUCAGUGGAGACUUCCAAUUUUUUAUGUUUUUCAACACUGACCUGCAUUUCAGUCAUACAGUAGAGCAACAGAUGUCAUCAUCUGGAUUCUAAACUGGCUUUUAAAAAUGGCUCUUCCAUUAAAGAAAAACAAGGGGGCCCAAUAUUUUCUUCACAUUGCUUGAAUAUAUAUAUAUAUAUGUGUGUGUGUGUGUGUGUAUAUAUAUAUAUAUAUUUUUUUUUCUUUUUUUUUUUUUGAGAGACGGAGUCUUGCUCUGUUGCCCAGCCUGGAAUGCAGUGGUGCGAUCUCAGCUCACUGCAACCUCCGCCUCCUGGGUUCAAGUGAUUCUCCUGCCUCAGCUUCCCAAGGAGCUGGGACUACAGGCGAGUACCACCACACCCAGCUAAUUUUUGUACCUUAGAGACAGGGUUUCACUAUAUGUUGGCCAGGCUGCUCCUGACCUCAGGUGGUCUGCCCGCCUCAGCCUCCCAGAGUGCUGGGAUUAGAGGCAUUAGCCACUGCACCCAGCCAAAAAUAUUUUCAAUAUAAACAUUCCAUAUUGAUUUUCACUUUGAGCUUCCUGCAUAAUGUUUAGAAUGUGAGCCAGGCAUGGUGGCAUGGUCCCAGCUACUCAGGAGGCUGAGGUGGGAGGAUGGCUUGAGAUCAGGAGUUUGAGGCUACAGUGCGUUAUGAUUAUGCCUGUGAACAGCCACUGCACACUAGCCUGGGUGACAGUGCAAGACUGUCUCUAAAAAAGACAAAAUUAGGAUAUAAGCACUGAGGUGGAUGUAGCGACAUUGAGAGAUAUGGAAUUGACUUAGAUUUCAUUUGAACAAAGACCAAGAAGCUGCUAAGAUUCAGAGGAGCAAUAGGUUGAUGGAAUAUGUGAAUUAACAAUUCCUAUGUCAAAAGGAGAUUAUGGGCUGGGCGCAGUGGCUCACGCCUAUAAUCCCAGCACUCUGGAAGGCCAAGGUGGGCAGAUCACCUGAGGUUGGGAGUUCGAGACCAGCCUGGCCCACAUGGUAAACCCCGUCUCUACUAAAAAUACAAAAUUAGCUGAGUGUGGUGGUGCACGCCUGUAAUCCCAACUUCUCAGGUGGCUGAGGCAGGAGAAUUGCUUUAACCCGGGAGGUGGAGGUUGCAGUGAGCUGGGAUCACCCCAUUGCGCUCCAGCCUGGGUGACAGAGCGAGACUCCACCUAAAAAAAAAAAGAAAAAAAGAUUAUGAAUGAACCUUUCAGCCCUAGUCCUUGCUCCCUUCCAAAAAUAUUUUUUGUAUGUGCCACUGCACUUGAAAUAAGCCGCCAUCUGGAUCCCAGCAUCGAGGUGACUCUCCCACUUCUGCUUAUACCAGCACUCACACAUUUAAGUCUCCAUGCCUGCAGCAGUGCCGCUGAUAGUAGGUGGGAAAAUGACAAGAAAGUAUUGCACAGGAGGAGGAAAGCUAUCCAAGGCUUCACUUCCCAUUGCAGCAGGAGCAUCUUAAGGCCAGGUAAAUGCAUCCCAUCGCUCUAAGCUCAUGAACUGCUAGCAGGAAUGAAAAUGAAAAGCUUUGUGAGUAGCAAUAUGGCAAUGUUUUCCAAGAACCUUAGUUUUUCCAUCUUAAAGGAUCUUUUAAAAGUUCAUAUCCACUAGUCUCAUUUUCAGAAAUGUAAUAUAAGAAAAUAAAGAUUUAUGUAUAAGGAUGCUUAAUAUCUAUUUUUCAAAACAAUGAAAAUAAUCCAAAUAUUCAAUAGGGGAUUGAGCACAGAAAUUACUCCAUCUUCUUAGUCAAAUAUUGUGCAGUCAUUAAAAAAAAAGUUCUCAAUGGCUAUUUAAUGGCAUACUAGGAUCCUAAUAUUACAAAAAAUGCAACAUAAAAAAGAAUAAGGCCGGGUGCAGUGGCUCACUCCUGUAAUCCCAGCACUUUGGGAGGCUGAGGUAGGCAGAUCACUUGAGGUCAGGAGUUCGAGACCAGCCUGGGCCAACAUGGUGAAACCGCAUCUCUACUAAAAUACAAAAAUUAGCCGGGCGUGGUGGUGCACACCUGUAAUCCCGGCUACUUGGGAGGCUGAGGCAGGAGAAUCACUUGAACCCAGGGGGCAGAGGUUGCACUGAGCCGAGAUCGCGCUACUGCACUCCACCCUGAGUGACAGAGCAAGACUCUCUCAAAAAAAAAGAUUGAAAAGAAACACUCAAAUGUAUAUAGUGAUAAUGUCUGGCAAUAGAAUUUUGAGUGAUUUUUAUUUGCUUUAUUAUUUGCUGUUGUUUCCCAAAUUUUCUGCCAUGAGUACAUUUCCAUAAUCAGAAAACAAUGUUUUGGCCAGGCAUGGUGGCUCAUGCCUGUAAGCUCAGCACUUUGGGAGGCCAAGGCAAGUGGGCCACCUGAGGUCAGGAGUUCGAGACCAGCCUGGCCAACAUGGUGAAACCCUGUCUCUAUUAAAAAUACAAAAAAUUAGCCAGGCAUGGUGGCAAACACCUGUAGUUCCAGCUAUUCGGGAGGCUGAGGCAGGAGAAUUGCUUGAACCCAGGAGGCAAAGGUUGCAGUGAGCUGAGAUCGUGCCAUUGCACUCCAGCCUGGGCAACAAGAGCAAAACUCCGUCUCAAAAAAAAAAAAAAAAAAAGGAAAAAGAAAACAAUGUUUUGUCUUGUUUUUUAAAGGAAAAACCCCUGCACCGUGAUAGGUUUAGAAGUUCUCUAUCUCCACAGGGCAAGCGUGUACCUACCUGUGCUCCAUACUGGGUUUCUGGUAGUUGAAGUGUACAUCUCAGGAACAUAUGUAUAUACACUAACUUAAUCAUUACAAAAAUCUCAACAGAUGACUUCUGAUGCACAAUACCGUCUGAGUGUAGCAUCACAAAACACAUCACUAAAGUAUACUAAAAUAAGGUUAUUUACUUCAAAAUGAUACAUUGGACAUAAUCUGUAUAUAGAACAAAGCAAGUAAUGGUAAACUCUUAAGGCACCUUUUAAACCAGAUGCUGUACAAAAUACAUUUAGUGUGUUACACGUCAAAGACGAAUCUAUAUUUUUGGUGUUUUACAACUGCCUGAUAAAACUGCUUGCUUUUACCCUUCUUUCAAUGCCUAUGUACAGUUUCCCCUAAUGAAGCAAUAAUGAUAUUUCCAUUUUAUACAAUAUAUACUACAUUUUAGUUUUUAAAUGGGCCAGGACAAAGGUCACUAAAAGGGCUUAAAUAAUUCCAUAGAAAACAGAAUACAGAGCAUAAGCUAAAAUUACAAUAGUUAAUCCUUUACAAGAGCCAUAUUCACAUACUUUCCUUAUGGGACCAUCAUUACACGUGGCUUCACAGGAUGCUGUGCUGGAUUUUGGUUCUUAGGAACACACCUCCUCCCUGCAGUUUCCACUGUGACUCUCACAGCAGCACACUAAGGCAAGAGACGAGCUGUGGCACUGCUAUUUUAACACCUGACUCAAAGUCAGUAAUAAAUAUGACCACUUUUAAACACUACAAGGGCUAUCAUAAUCUUUUGUUAAAAUAAAAAUCAUUUCUGCUGUUGAAAUGAUUUUAGAUAUUUAGAAACAUUUCAAAACAACAUCUAUGAAGUAUGUUUAUGAAAGCUGCCCUGGAAUAAAUUAUUCAAUAUCAAAUUUGAUCCUGGGCCAACCCAAAGAUGCAUGAUUCUUUAAAAACUAUAGUGCAUUUUUGUUCUAAACAGAACAAAGCAUCUGAAGAAAAGUACUGAUUGUUAGAGUAAAUCAAAAUUUGGCACGUUCUAGGAAAACAUAAUUUUAAAAAACUAUAGGUCACUUUCUAAGUUUAGAAACACUUCUGGACACUGGAAAGGCAAUGUAAAAAUACUGAUUAAAAUAACUUUUGUGAAAAUAUUUCCAAAGAAAUCAGAUGCAAGUUUUAUACAUCAGAAACUUGUUCAGUAAAAAGCACAGUAAAAGCUUAGAAUAAACAAACUGAAGGAAACCCUAAUGUGCCUUUAAUCCUAGAGCUAUUUGCCAGCAUAAAGAGAAUUCACAAGAACUCUCUUUGAGGGUUAACUUUUCCUGUUUAUAGUCAGGUAGUUUGGGUUGUUUGCUUUUAUAUUUUAAUUAUUUAAAGAGCUAUCUGAAUGAAGCUACACACUUCAAAAACACUAAAUUGCAAGUGGGACCAAAUAAUGGCUUCCAAGGUUUUACGAAUUUACUAACUAUGGUACUACAUAAUACUUCUUCUUGCUGGCCUAUCAUAUUCUUUAAAUAUUUCACUUAGUCGAUGAGCUUCAGAUUUAAGAAUAAGAGUGGAAAGGAGAGACAAGAACUAAGUUUAAUGCAACAUUUUUGUUUUUUGUUAUUUAUUUGUUUGUUUAUUUGAGAUGGAGUUUCGCUCUUUUGCCCAGGCUGGAGUGCAGUGACACGAUCUCAGCUCACUGCAACCUCCACCUUCUGAUUUUAAGCAAUUCUCCUGCUUCAGCCUCCCGAGUAGCUGGGAUUACAGGCACCCGCCACCACGCCUGGCUGAGUUUUUUAUUUUUAGUAGAGAUGGGGUUUCACCAUGUUGGCCAGGCUGGUCUUGAACUCCUGACCUUGUGAUCCACCCGCCUCAGCCUCCCAAAGUGUUGGGAUUACAGGCGUGAGCCACCGCGCCCGGCCACAUUUUUAGAUUAAGAUUCCAAAGACGGCAGCAUUUGCUUUUUAAAGAACAUGUUAUACUAGAAAAUGUUUUUACUGAGCAAGUUUCUAAGAUUAACUCUUGAUAUCACUUUUACUAGACCAAGUUAAUUUUAAAAAACCAUAAUAGUGGUCUCAUAUACUGGCUGUAAUUUUUUGCUUCCACACACCAUUUGAACAUUUCCAAUAAACUUUGCCUGUCUUUAUAUUUUUAUUAAGAUGACAAAUGAACUUUGGGAGGCCGAGGCAGGUGGAUCAUGAGGUCAGGAGAUUGAGACCAUCC